UGGGGAAUAUUGCACAAUGGGCGCAAGCCUGAUGCAGCCAUGCCGCGUGUAUGAAGAAGGCCUUCGGGUUGUAAAGUACUUUCAGUCGGGAGGAAGGUGUCAAGGUUAAUAACCUUGGCAAUUGACGUUACCGACAGAAGAAGCACCGGCUAACUCCGUGCCAGCAGCCGCGGUAAUACGGAGGGUGCAAGCGUUAAUCGGAAUUACUGGGCGUAAAGCGCACGCAGGCGGUCUGUCAAGUCGGAUGUGAAAUCCCCGGGCUCAACCUGGGAACUGCAUUCGAAACUGGCAGGCUAGAGUCUUGUAGAGGGGAGUAGAAUUCCAGGUGUAGCGGUGAAAUGCGUAGAGAUCUGGAGGAAUACCGGUGGCGAAGGCGGCCCCCUGGACAAAGACUGACGCUCAGGUGCGAAAGCGUGGGGAGCAAACAGG
rnacentral:rRNA from 1 species